AACCCCAAAUAUAGCUGACACAAACAAUUCAAGUUUUUCUCAUCUUAGUGGGGAUUGUAUUUUGAUUUGUCAGGUUGAUAAUAUUUGAGGACGACAGUAUUUAAAGGGUUUCUCUUUCGCUUCUUGCAACCAACUCAGAAAAGACAAAUAGAUGUUGGAGUUAAAAAAGCUCGUGUUCAAUAUGAAUUUUGGCAAAAUGUGUUCAAAUUUUUUUGUGGUUCAACUUGUUUCAUGUUAUCAUGAAGUUAUGUUAGUGUUGUUUCUUAAUCUGUUAGCAUUAUAUUCACAAUGAUCAAAAUUCAAAAGACAAGAUUGUUACAAUUAUAUCUGUUUCUUAAUCUGUUAGCAUUAUAUUCACAAUGAAGGUAUGUAUGUAUACUAAUUGUUUCUUAAAUGAAGUGAAAUAGAGAGCGUAACUCAUUUUGUGGUCCAAAAAUGAGCAGGACAGAGAAGUUGUGUUUUUCCCUAUUAAGCAACUGCAGAACACUGGGAAAGCUGAAGCAAAUCCACGCGUUGGUUUGCAAAUCGGGGCUUGAAUCAAACCCAUUAAUCGCGGGAAAACUCCUACUUGUUUGUGCCUUUCAAAUUUCUGAUGCUAUUGAUUACGCUCGGCGUCUCCAUGUCUACAAUCCAAAGCCGCCAGACGUCUUCAUGUACAACACCCUCAUCCGAGGUGAAUCCGAAUCAGACUCACCCAUGAAUUCAGUCCACUUGUUCAUUCAAAUGCUGCGAAAAUCAUAUUUCCCUCCUGAUAGUUUCUCGUUUGCUUUUGUACUCAAAGCAACUGCGAAUUUGCGGUGUUUGAGAACUGGAUUUCAGCUGCACUGUCAAGCUAAGCUACGUGGGCUUCAUACCCAUCUCUUUGUUGGGACUACAAUGAUUAGUGUGUAUGGUGAAUGUGGGUUUGUUGAGUUUGCUUGGAAGGUGUUUGUUGAAAUACCUGAACCAAAUGUCGUCGCUUGGAAUUCAAUAAUUACAGCAUACUUUCGAGGGAAUGAUGUAAGUGGUGCAGAUAAAUUGUUUGCUUCUGUACCAUUUAAGAACUUGACUACUUGGAAUCUGAUGCUGGCCGGGUAUACGAAAGCCGGGGAACUUGAGCGUGCAGAGGGAUUGUUCUUGCAGAUGCCAAGUAGAGAUGAUGUUUCUUGGAGUACUAUGAUUGUUGGAUUUGCUCAUAGUGGUUGCUUUGAUGAGGCUCUUUGGCUUUUCAGGGAUUUGGUUGCCAGUGGAAAUAGGCCGAAUGAAGUGAGCUUGACGGGCGUUUUAUCUGCAUGUGCUCAAGCUGGGGCAUUUGAGUUUGGGAUAACAUUACAUGCUUUUAUAGAGAAAGUGGGGUUGGUUUGGAUAAGUUCCGUGAACAAUGCACUUUUGGAUACUUACUCCAAGUGUGGAAAUGUGUUUAUGGCUCAUCUUGUCUUUCGAAGAAUGCCUGGGAAGAAAAGUAUUGUUUCUUGGACUUCUAUGAUAGCAGGGUUUGCAAUGCAAGGAUAUGGUGAAGAGGCGAUAAAACUUUUUCAUGAGAUGGAAGAAUGUGGGACUAGACCUGACGGGGUCACUUUUAUUUCGGUCCUUUAUGCAUGUAGUCAUGCUGGUUUAGUUGAACAAGGCCAUGAUCUAUUCAGUAAAAUGACAGGAAUUUAUAACAUUGAACCAACUAUUGAGCAUUAUGGCUGUAUGGUUGAUUUGUAUAGUAGGGCUGGUCAGCUUCGUAAGGCAUAUAAUUUUGUGGUUCAACUGCCAAUACAACCCAAUGCCAUUAUUUGGCGGACUCUUCUCGGGGCUUGCAGCUUUUUCGGUGACAUUGAAUUGGCUGAGCAAGUAAAUGAAAGACUGUCUGAGCUGGAUCCAGACAAUUCUGGUGACCAUGUUUUGCUGUCCAACAUUUAUGCAUUCGCAGGGAAAUGGAAGGAUGCUGCCAUGGUGAGGAGAUCAAUGGCUGAGAAGAAUAUGAAGAAAAUACCAGGUUGGAGCAUGAUUGAAGUGGACAAGGUCAUGUACAGUUUUGUAGCAGGCGAUAAUAAACGAAAUGAGAUUACCGAGGAAGCUUAUAAUAGGCUAAGUGAGAUAAUAUUAAAACUUAAAGUAGAAGGUGGCUAUAUUCCAGAGGUAGGCAGUGUCUUGCAUGAUAUAGAAGAGGAAGAAAAGGAAGAUACUGUGUCUAAGCACAGCGAGAAACUUGCUGUUGCUUUUGGUCUGGCAAGGUUAUGUGAGGGAAGCACCAUACGAAUUGUAAAGAAUUUGAGGGUGUGCAAGGAUUGUCAUAGUUUUAUGAAGUUGAUAUCUAAAGUCUACGGAUUAGAUAUUGUGGUUCGAGACAGAAGUCGGUUUCAUUCUUUUAAAGAAGGUUCUUGCUCUUGCAGGGAUUAUUGGUGAUGGAUGAUUUGUGGUCUAAUCAAAUUGGCAAUGCUCCCAUUUUCAGGGAAAACAACAUUGACUGCAAACAGAAGACCCACAUUAUGGAUAUUAUGAAAUGCUCCAUGCUUGCCAUUGCAGUGAAAGAAUAUGAAAAAGAAGUUAGCAAACAUGUCUGUCAACUAAAUAGCCAUGGAAAAGGAUACUGCAUCAAGUAAUUUUGUCUCUUCACAGCUGUGAAGGUUGCGAGAUUCUAAAAUGCAAAUUCCUAUUUGGUUUUUAUAUUCUUCUCUCUUGAAUCGAGCAUAGUGAUACGAGUACGACCAUGAAGGUGGACAUAUAUGAUAUGUAUUGAACCCGAGACUUGGAGUGUUCAAAUGAAGUGCAAAGGAGGGCCUAAAUAGGCUCCAAAAACAGUCCACAUUCUACACUCCAAGGGAGCCUAAAGUGAAACAUUUGACUAAGGGGUCUUUUGGACAUUUCACACUAUUUUUGUAACCUACUAUAAAUAGAAUAUGUUAGGUCAUUUACUACUUAGUUUUGAUUGAAUAUUGGAAGUUGUAACAUUGAAACACCCUCUCUUGAGAGAAUGGCCUCGUGGCCGAAACAUAGUAACUAGGGAAAUCAACUUGAGUGUGGAAUCACUCGUGUUGGAUUCAAGCUUGGAAACGUUGGAUGCUUGGGAGAUCAAGGUCCCUCUUGUUUCAACGUAAGAGAUAGGUGAAUCAUUGUGUGUGGUAUUAAGGGUCCAAGAGUGGAAUAGGCUCUUGGGUUCUUAAGAUUACAUGUUUGUGUAGUCUAUUAGUCUAUUUAUCUAUCCCUUUGUUUCUUGUAGCCGUGUGCUUGUUGUUCUUAAUAAUAUUGUUACUGUUCUUCA